GGGCAUAUCCAAUUCACCAAUGGUUGCUAUUUUUAAGACUCCACGUUGUGAAUACGCCGUCAUUCAAACAAAGGAGUUGGAACCAGUGCUAGUUAUUAAAAUGGUCAUCACCAGACCAAGGCUCAAUCAAGUCAUGCAAGAAGGAAUCAGGUCUUUUAUGGAAAUACACUGUACAAGGACUUGGCUGGUAACCCACUUCACAUCUCCUUGAUAAACACUGGAGAAUCAUGCAAAGAUUUUGAUGUAACAGAUUGACCUCUAACAGCAACGAUGGGCAUCAGUGAUGAGAAGACCCUUGUUGA